UGCAAGUGUCAAACAUUGCGCUUGAUCUUUUUAAAUUAAAUACUUGUCUAUUUAAUGAAAAAUCUUGCAGGUGAGUAAUGUUGAUCUUAUUAAUGAACUUAUUCAGAAUAUAAAUAGUUGCAUGUAACGUAUGAUCGGACAUUGCUUGUAUUAUAGAUAACGUUAUGCGUAACCUUAAAUAUGUUAUUAUUGUAUUUAUGUACAGAAUUUUAUUAAACAAGUCAUGGAUGCAACUGAUGUUUUUCCUUCCUCCGAUGAAAGUUCCGACAAAGAAUUAUUGGCACUGUGGCUCCUAAGACGGAGACAAAGAAGACGCGUGCAGAAAUAAGAUUUCGGUUCACCCUCUUUGCAAACGACGAAUAGAACAAGGCGCUCAUGGUAAUCUGCACAUGGAAAUGGUUGUGGUUGAUACGAAUAUGUUUAGAGCAUAUAUACGAAUGACCGUUGUCGAAUACGAAAACCUCCUUCUGCAAGUGGGUUCGUAGUUGAUAAGUGCUCCUACAAGACACGACGUCGUCACUCUGUCGCAGAAACUGAUGACCACACUAAUGUAUAGUAUCUUGCCACCGGAGAGUUUCGUGCCUCUGCAAGGUCAGUUUCACAUUGUUGUGGCUACAAUUCAUGGCUUCAUUCCCAAAGUUUUAAAAGUCAUAUGGGAGACACUGCAACUAACUGUGCUGAAAAUACCGAGCAAUUCCAACGACUGGAAAACAAUGAUCGACAUUUAUUACAGAAAAUGGCAGUUUCCUCAGUGCUGGGGAGCUCUAGAUGGAAAGCAAAUUGUUAUAGAGGUAAUGCCUCAAUUAAAAUAAAUAAAUAAAAAGGAGAACAAACGUCGAAACAAAAUAAAUU